UUUACCCCCCAUUUACUUGUUCUUACUGCUGAGACACACCCUCACUCCCCAUCUCAUCUUCCAGCGCCGCAUAGCACGCUGGAGUGUCGUCUUUCCGGUCGCAUUCCUCAACGGAGUCAACGCCGGAAAAUCAGUUAACGCCACUGAUAGGUACGGUCUCACAUCCGCCAAGAGUCAUACCUUGAGCCGCUGCAUGUUGCCGUCGUGGAGACGCAUCCACCCGUGAGAACCUUCAUCGCGACACCCUCCAGUAGGUCCGCCAGAAGGCACGCGACGGCUGGACUCUUCCGUCCUCAUUCCUGUCUCUUCCCUUCGACCCUAGCAGAACAACAGCAGGUAGGUGAGGUUGGGGAAGAAAACACAAGUUGGAACCUGGACAUAAUUUUCACACUGUUGCAAGAGAUCGACGUCAAGACAUGGGAAAGCCGAAAUUACUAGAGACACGGUGUUCACCGUGCUACAUCGCAGAUCUAUUCCACGAUCUGGAAACUAAGCAAGUGCAAGCAAAGUUAGAUGAGAUAGAAGAAAUUGGUUUUGGUUUCCUUAAGCUAGUGCCAAAGUGGAAUGUUAAACAAGGAUUAAUGGUGAUGCUGGCCAAGGCUUACGACACUGAAACAAGCACCUUAAAAGUAGCUGAUGGAGUCAUCCGCAUUGGGGCUGAGCUGUUCGAACGUCUGUUCGGAAUUUCGCCCGGUGUUGAUGACUUCCCCCCGUUUGACGCUAGUAAUGCCGAUCAUGUGUCGAUACGAAGAAGAUUUCACCGGUUAAAUACUAUACAGCUGAGACAGUUUGUUAACCAGUGCGCUAUGGAUACUGAAGAUGACAGGAUGGAGUUUAGGAGGCAUUUCAUCCUGCUCGUGCUGAAGAUGUUUCUGUGUCCGACUGUGCAACACGUCAUCUCGCCGUGGCACAUCGAUACAAUACUUGAUGUAUCUGAUCCCGAAAGAUUCUGUUGGCCGUUGCAUAUUUUCAAAUCAUUAGAACAAGCAAUUAAGAAGUACAAAUGUUAAAAAAAAAAAAACAAGACUUGCGAGGGCUGCAUGUUUGCCUAGCUGGUGUUGUACUUCCAUAAGCCUAAGCAUGGUGAUCUCGAUAAUUGUCAAGAACCUCAGCCGUGUCUUUCUGCAUGGACUGCCAAGGAGCUCAGCACCAUGGCAACAACUAUUCAACCCGAGGCUUUUAGCGUACCCAGAGGAAACGAUGGUGCGGUCUUCGAAGGUGCCGCAAAGGAGCACACUAUGGGCGCAGGUCUUAACACUAACCAGACAAUGAGUCCUGAUGGGUGCAAAAAAGGAUCUGAUUGCAGAGAGGGUGAUGGCGAUGACGAUGACAAAGAGCCCAUUGCGAAGCGAUUACGUCGUAGACAUGAUUUGAAGAGGACACCGAAAUCUUGUUCGAUAGUAGGGGAGACCAGGAGAACGAGCAAGACAGAUAUAACAAAGAACCAAAAAGAUCCGACAUGAAGCCAGGAGUUAUUAGCGAGUUAGUGAUAAGAAAUGAUAAAGCAAUUGCUUUCGACGAGGAUGACGAGGAUAACCAACCCAUUGGCAAGAGAAUCCACAUAAAAACCCAGAAAAGCAAACCACAACAGCAGAAAGGGACAGAAGGGGAGAACAUCGCAACAAGCCUCCCGAAAACAUCAAAGAAACCAAUUGAGACGUAUGAGGCUGAACCAAAAACUCCGUCAGCUGUAAUGAUUGACAAUUCAGGAAUUCAGGAAUAUUCAAGUGAAUUUUUUGACAUGCACCCUGACAUCUUAUCGCAGCGAGAUCCGGAGUGCGAAAGGCUAUGGACAGAAAUCGAACGACGUUACCCAUUGAGAGCCAUUAGCAUCGAUCCGAUACAAACAAUUAUUCCAAAAGGGUCUUCAGUCCGCACACCGAGUCCACCACGCCCAUCAUUCUCACUUGGGAUGACGCAGAUCUUCAAAACACCCAAACCAUCCCCCCUCGACCCAUUCAUCCGUUACUAAAGGGACGAAAAAUCACUGAGCAGGACAAAUAAAAAAAUCAGAGGAUGGGCUGUGAACAGAUCCCUUGAUAGUAAGCAAAAAGUUACAUCGUAUGAGGGUAGACCACACUUAGUGCUGAGAAGGGCGGACUUGUACACCCUGAGGCCACGUGCUUGGCUCAAUAACAAUGUCGUGCAGUGGAUGUGUUGCGCGUUCAAUGACUCAGGGUUAAACAGAUUAACGCAUGACUUCUACUGCGUGUGUCCAGGGAUAAUGGAAACAGUGUUGGUCGAAAGGAAUGUAUUGCAGUUUCAGAACGGCCCAACUCCGGUGUAUGUGGGUUUGGGAAAAAACUUUGGUGUUGAUACUAGGUUUUUUGAUAAGGUAACAGCUUCAAAGAGAAGAUGGGUAAGUCUGUUUGUCAAAUUAGAAGUUGCUAUUUUUAUUUGCAUCCGAAUAACAGAUAUGUGUUUUUCAUUGUAAAUUCACGUGAAAUGCCUAAUUACAUUUGCAUAAUGUUACUGUGGUUUUUUCCUAUAUGUAUCACCCGUCACUGACUCACCGGUGGGUGUAUGCGUUCGAUGUAUCCGCGAAAAAACUGUUUGUACUAGAUAGCAUACCCAAUAAACCACAUGAUACAUUCCGGAACAAGCUAGAUGCAUAUGCGGUACCACAACAUGUCGUCACCCUCUGGCUUUAUUUAAUCCUUAUUAUUGUAUUCUAUUUAAGUGUUUUCUAUGUUGUUUAGGCGAGGCUCAUUGAAGACAUAGCACAGGUGGCCAUCCACACAUAUAAGCCCACUAAACAAGGGCUACCUUGUACAUAUGCCCCUGUUCCAGUACAACUAAAUAGUUUUGACUGUGGGAUCUAUACAAUAAAGUUUAUGGAGUACUGGACUGAAGGCAGGAAUGUGAAUGACGGGAUUAUGACACUAUCAAGUUAUAUAGGUUGGAGAUAAUGCUUGACAUCAUCCUCUGUCACAAAAAUUUAAACAUUGGAGAUGCUCUGAAUGCUGUUAGCAGCCAUGCUCAACCUCCUGUGCGUCGCAACCAACCAAGGAACAAACGUAAGCAGGUUAGGACUCCGUUUACAGCACCUGGGACAAACAGCAUGCUUCGACGAGCUGCAGGGGUGCAAAAGAAACAGACGAGCAAAAGAAGAUAGAUAUCAAAAGAAAAAGCCUUUAUAUUACAUUCUAGUUUGCUUAGGGGAGAGUUAUCCUCACAUUGUGAGAUAUUUUUUGUUGGGUCUAAGUAUUUUCCUUAUUUUACACAGAUGAAUCUUGUUUUGGAUUCUUGUUCCUUCACACGUUUGUCUGGGACAAGUUUAUGCACAAGCUGACCAACUGAUACACUUUGAGAUAUUUUUGUUUUCAAAUAAUAAGCAUGUCACAGUUUGAUUGUUGUCUAUUUUGGAUGUCUCCAUUUAUGUUAGCAGUAUAUUGUUAUUCAGGUGUUCUUCGUAGUUGCUGAAAAAUGGAUGUGUCUUCUGAGUGGAUGUGUCUUGUUAACCACAUAUGUGUCUUCCGUAUUUUUAUUGAAUGUAUCUAUGGCACAUCUAUGUGUCUUCUGACAGGUGUGGACAUGUGUGUCUCAUGAGUGGAUGUGUCUUAUUAACCAUAGAUGUGUCUUCGAUAUUUUUAUUGAAUGUAUCUACGGCACAAGGAUGUGUCGUAUGCCAGAUGUGUCUUUUAAUAAUGUGUCUUUUUCGUGCUUGUU